AGGCAUCUAUGGCAUAUGGAAUUUCCCUGGCUAGGGGUCAAAUCAGAGCUUUCCUAAAAACACAGUGUUGGUGUGACAUCAAAAUUAUUAUUUGCUACUUCUAUUUGGCAAAGCGCUAUCUCUUGAAAAUUUUAAAUAACAUCAUACAAAUGUCUUCAAUAUGACACAUUUUUGAUACACACAAUUAUCUAAAUUUCAAGUAUAAAUGCUUGACCAUUUCCUAAAAAGCAACUCUUCAAAAAUGACAUCAUCUCAGCAAAAAGAUUAUAAAUGAGAAGAAAUAAGAACAUCAUCAUGAUGAAAGAACAUUUGUAUUCCUUGGACUAACCAUGAGAGAAUAAUCCCUAAAAAGAAGUAAGGGCAUUGUGAUGAACUAGGAGCUUUAAUUUUUGCCAAAUAAUUGCAGAAGAAUCUGUGUUACCUAAGUGUUAUUUAACGAAUAAUUAAUCCCAACACUUGGUUCACCCUGUCUUGAAUCCUAUUUCUGAUGUCAAUCUUAGCCAACUCAUGGAAAUAUUUUAGGACUAGAGGAAAAGACAUACCAAUCUUUUUAUAGGUCAUUCCUAAAGUUACAUUUGAUAUGAUAGUGGAUAAAUGUGUCCAAGUUACAUUUGACAUGAGAUUGGAUAAAUGUGUCCAAACUUUAAAAUUUCAUUUAUUCUAAAUAUAUUUUGGUGAUGAUUGUACAACCCUAUACAUUUACUAAAAAUCAUUAUAUUUUACACUUUAAGAAGUAAUUUUAUGAUAUAUCAAUUAUGCUUCAAGAAAGGCGCUUUAAAAAUUCACUUAUUCUUUCCACAGGUUUUUAAAAUUAUUUUUUGUAUGUGGAAUUUAAUUAGUACUCUUAGUAUUUUGGGGGUGAAGUAGUUCAGGAAUUUCAUUCUGUUGUCUUAAUCCAAGAGAAAGCUCAAUGAUGGAGUUAAGAAAAGGGCUUUUCAAAAUGCAAAGUGUUUUAAGACACUGAAAUCCCUUUACUUACCUCAAAAUAGAUAGAGGACUUAAAGAUGUACAGAUGUGAAAAUGAUCUGGGAGAAUUUAGACACAAACAGAUUAAAGAUUCUUUCAUGUCAUCACUGACACCUGCAAGGUUUAAUUAAGCUGAAAGUCACCAACUUCUGCUCAAAAUGCUGACUAGUGGCUUGUUAAUUAGUUGCUUUUCUCAUUGAUUAGCAACUUAUGCAAUACCCUGUUAUAAAUGGCUGUAAUGCUUGCCUUGUUUCAGGGCUUAAUUAAUAUGAUAUAGACUAUUUAACAAUUGUGUGCUUGUUUGAUUUAUGAAGCAAAAGGAGAGAAUUUUAUUGCCAACCCAAAACAGUGAUGUAUAAAAACACAUUCUCAAAGCACGACAAAGCUGGUAAUAUAAAAAACUUUCCUUGUCUUUUAGGGAAACUUUGAUGAAAUGAGCCAUCACUGCUUGUCAUGAGCAAUCAAUUAAUUUCUCAGAAAUUGUGUUGUCAACAAAUUUUUAAAACAAAUGUUUCAAUAAAUAAGUACCCGUCAAUUCUGAGUUAUUGAAAUUAUACUUUAGAAUGCACUGUGGAAUUAAUUAAAAUUAGUGUGUGGGCACUUCUCUGCUUUUUUUUAACAUGCAUAUGACUCUCAAAUUUUUAUUUUCAGACCUAGUCUCUCCCUAAAACUCUAGGCUGUGGUACUCAACUUCUUAUCUGAUGUCUCUAUGGGAUGCCCAACAGGCACUUCUGACCUACAGGGCCAAACACAACACUUGAUUCUGCCUGUCGCCUUUCCCCAACUAUCCCGCCUCCCAUCCAUCUCAGUAGAAAACAACUCCUCUGUCUACUUUGUAGUUUAAGCCAAACAUUUAGAGAGUCAUCCUUUCUCUCUUUUCCUUACUUCUCACAUCCUAUCUCCCAAACAUCCUGAUUCUGUACAUAUUCUGUAAAUGUCAUAUUACUUCUUCGGUCUUACCUACUGACAUCUGUCACCUGGGCCACAAUCUCCUAACUGUGCUUUUUUAAAAACUGAAGUAUAGGUGAUGUACAAUAUUAUAUAUUAUAUAAAGGUAAACAGUAUAGUGAUUCACAAUUUUUAAAGCUUAUACUUCACUCACUUAUUUGGUUGCACCUGAAGCAUGCAGAAGUUCUUGGGCCAGGGAUAGAACCCAUGCCAUAGCAGUGACCCAAGCUUCUACAGUGCCAGAUCCUAAACCACUGAGCCACAAGAGGACUCCCUAUGCUCCAUUUAUAGUUAUAAAAUAUUGAGUAUAUUCCCAGCAUUGUACAAUAUAUCCUUAUAGCUUAUUUUAUACAUAAUAGUCUGUACCUCUUAAUCAUCUAACUCUACUUUGAUCACUUCCCAAAGAUAUUGUCCCCAAACAUUCAGUGUGGUAUCUUUUCACUUCCCAACAUAGAGCUUUCCAAUGGCUUCCCAAUGUGCUUGGAAAAAAAAAAAAAAUCAUUCUUACUCCCUUUGAUUACAUACUCUUACAUGAUCUGGCCCCCGAGGACUUCUCUGAUCUCAUCUCCCUGUCUCCCUUUGCUCCCUGUAUUUUAAGUUCAUUGGCAUCAGCUAUUCCCCAUGCUUAGCCAGUACCUCCGUGGACUUUCACAUGCUUGCUCCUUGUUUUCAUUUUUUCAUCAUUGACACUGCAACUUAAAGGCCACUUCCUCAGAGAGGACCUCCCUGAUACCCUAAAUAGCCACCAGUUUACUUGUUGUCAGAGCACUUUUCACUAUCUCACUUUUAAUUUUUUUUCUAGAUGACAUAUUUGGUUAUUUUUUUCUUUCAACAACAGAAUGGAAACUCUAUAAGAACAGAAACCUCAACUUUCUCAUUCUUUGCUCUAUCCAAAUGGUUAGAACUGUGGCAAGCACAUAGUAGUUACACAAUAUAUUUUGGUUGAAUAGCUAGAUGUCUGGAUAGAUGUGGUGAGGUUUAUUCACUGUAGAGUUACUCUAUACUGGUUUUCUUUCCAAAAUGACAAAUAAGCAUGUAAGUUGCUGAUCAAACUUUUAUCACAGCAAACUUGGUUCUCUAUUCAUCUUUAAGGAGAAUGCUUCUGAUAUACCCAGCAAGGAUAAAUGGUAAACUAAGGUGAAUCUCAGUAUUACAGUUAAGUCUCACCUU
rnacentral:lncRNA from 1 species